AUGAACGCUAGCGGCAGGCUUAAUACAUGCAAGUUGAACGGCAGCGGGUUGUAGCAAUACAAUGCCGGCGAGUGGCGCACGGGUGCGUAACACGUAUGCAACCUACCCUAUACUGGGGCAUAACCUUUAGAAAUGAGGGCUAAUACUCCAUGUAAUUAUGAGAAGGCAUCUUUUUUAUAAUUAAAGAUUUAUCGGUAUAGGAUGGGCAUGCGUCCCAUUAGUUAGUUGGUAAGGUAACGGCUUACCAAGACUGUGAUGGGUAGGGG
rnacentral:rRNA from 1 species